CUACACAUGCAAGUCGAACGGUAACAGGAAGCAGCUUGCUGCUUUGCUGACGAGUGGCGGACGGGUGAGUAAUGUCUGGGAAACUGCCUGAUGGAGGGGGAUAACUACUGGAAACGGUAGCUAAUACCGCAUAACGUCGCAAGACCAAAGAGGGGGACCUUCGGGCCUCUUGCCAUCGGAUGUGCCCAGAUGGGAUUAGCUAGUAGGUGGGGUAACGGCUCACCUAGGCGACGAUCCCUAGCUGGUCUGAGAGGAUGACCAGCCACACUGGAACUGAGACACGGUCCAGACUCCUACGGGAGGCAGCAGUGGGGAAUAUUGCACAAUGGGCGCAAGCCUGAUGCAGCCAUGCCGCGUGUAUGAAGAAGGCCUUCGGGUUGUAAAGUACUUUCAGCGGGGAGGAAGGUGUUGAGGUUAAUAACCUCAGCAAUUGACGUUACCCGCAGAAGGAGCACCGGCUAACUCCGUGCCAGCAGCCGCGGUAAUACGGAGGGUGCAAGCGUUAAUCGGAAUUACUGGGCGUAAAGCGCGCGCAGGCGGUCUGUCAAGUCGGAUGUGAAAUCCCCGGGCUCAACCUGGGAACUGCAUUCGAAACUGGCAGGCUAGAGUCUUGUAGAGGGGGGUAGAAUUCCAGGUGUAGCGGUGAAAUGCGUAGAGAUCUGGAGGAAUACCGGUGGCGAAGGCGGCCCCCUGGACAAAGACUGACGCUCAGGU
rnacentral:rRNA from 1 species